UCGGAUAUGGUGUAACGGCUAACAUGGCUGUCUUUCACAGUGCUAAUUACAUUAGCAAGGACACAGCAGCCCCGGGUUCGACUCCCGGUAUCCGAA
rfam:Paxillus rubicundulus Ve08.2h10 scaffold_201_c1, whole genome shotgun sequence.